rfam:Erinaceus europaeus unplaced genomic scaffold scaffold00013, whole genome shotgun sequence
AUCUACAGCCAUACCACCUUGAACACACCUGAUCUCCUUUGAUCUUGGAAGCUAAGCAGGUUCGGGCCUGGUUAGUACUUGGAUGGGAGGAAUGCACUCCCCAAGCCUUUGAAGUAAAAGUUGUUUUUUUUU